rnacentral:lncRNA from 1 species
UCAAGAUCAAGUCAAAAUCUCACAUUCAUUCACAAUCACUUACAAUUCAUCACAAAUGUACAAGCAUUGGGGAAAAUACAAAAAAAAUAAGCUUUAACCAAUUGUUGACUUUGGUCAACGGUUGACUUUUUGGUCAACUUUGACCAAAGUCAACUCAUCCAUUUUUAACCAUCUAAGGCCUAAUCUAGCUCUUUUCCCGUGAUUUAUCAUCCAAGAGUCGUUU